GUCUGAAUUGCUAUGGCAUUAUAAGGGGCAGGAAGGAAAAUCCCAAUCAUCUACUGUAGCCACGUUUAAACGUACCUUAUUUUUAGAAUGUGCAGCAUGUAGAACGUUAAUGAAUAUUUAAUGCUGUGAAGUUAUAAAUCUUCACCAUCCUCACCCUGAAGUGGCUAGCUGAUACCUUUCUGAACACCUCUAUUAAUGCACAUACAGAAAAUCAGAAAGGAGAAAUUUGACUUCUGCCUUGGCAGGACUGCAGGGCUGCUUGGAACAUGUAUUAACAUCAUACAGGGGAAUCUGAUAAACUCCUUACAAGAUGCCAAACAUAUGUUACCAGGACAAUACAGACAAGCAAAUUACGAGCUUCCAGAUGAUACCUUCUUACAAGGAGUAUUUUGUGCAAAAAUUAUUAAGAUGGUGUGCAGGUGUCAAUACUGGGAUGUAUUCCAUCACAAACAUGUCUAAACAUUUUUCCUUGAGAUAUUGUCAACUAAUAUCUGUUUCCUAGUUUGCUUGGGACAAGGUUCAAUUAACAAGAGAAUCACUCAGAGAUUUAUUUUUCCUGUUUUGAAAGUUGGAACUAAGCCAGUUUCUCUUCUCUCUUCCCAGUCCUUUGAAACUUUCUCUGCUGCCCAUGAUUUUGCAAAGAUAACAGUGGUUCAAUAAGUUAAUUAGCUAAUUCACUUUACAGUGUGAAGUGCAUGUAUCACCUGAAUAUGGAGAUUGGUAGGAGCUCAAUCUCCCCAAGCAUUUUUUACCUGCUUUUAAUCUACAAUUAUAUUUACAAGUUCCUAAUUACUUUUUGAUGAUCCAUUCUUUUUUCCCUUACUUUUCUUAUUAAAAAGAUUUUCAAACCAAUGCAUCAUUGUCCCACAUGAUUCAGAGGCUAAGGUAGGAUUAAAUAAAGUCAAAGGAAAAAUAUAUGUAAGGGGUUUUCUCUCCUGUUGAUUCAGGGAUUGCCUUCUACUAGUGUUAUAUAGGAGUUAUGCAACUGUAUUCUGCAGUUCUGUGCAUGUUACAUGGAGAAUAAAAGCCAGCUAGAGGGGCUAUUCCUUUAGGACAAGCAAUAUAGAGUCUCCUUCAGUAUUGGCAAGUUCUAGCUUUGCUUCCCACUGAGGAGCCAUGACAGAAGAUUGUUACACUCAUCGA